UACGGAGGGGACUAGCGUUGUUCGGAAUUACUGGGCGUAAAGCGCACGUAGGCGGAUUUGUAAGUCAGGGGUGAAAUCCCGGGGCUCAACCUCGGAACUGCCUUUGAUACUGCAAAUCUCGAGUCCGGAAGAGGUGAGUGGAAUUCCGAGUGUAGAGGUGAAAUUCGUAGAUAUUCGGAAGAACACCAGUGGCGAAGGCGGCUCACUGGCCCGGUACUGACGCUGAGGUGCGAAAGCGUGGGGAGCAAACAGG
rnacentral:rRNA from 1 species